rnacentral:rRNA from 1 species
UUAGGAAUUAUAGGCGCGACGAGUCUGCCACUGCAAUUUAGUUAAAGGGCCGCGGUAUUUUGACCGUGCAAAGGUAGCAUAAUCAUUAGUCUUUUAAUUGAAGGCUGGAAUGAAUGGUUUGACGAAACAUUAUCUGUCUCCCUAUAAUUAGUAGAAUUUAACUUUUGAGUCAAAAGGCUUAAAUGUGUGUAAAAGACGAGAAGACCCUAUAGAUCUUUAUAUGUGUUUGUGGCUGUUAUGUUUAGUGGUGGUAAUUAUAGUUAUGAUAACAUAUUUUGUUGGGGUGACAUGAAGAUAUAAUUAACUCUUUAUUUUUUUGAACAUUGAUUUAUGAAUUAUUGAUCCACUCUUAGUGAUUAUAAGAUAAAGUUACCUUAGGGAUAACAGCGUAAUUUUUUUUGAGAGUUCUUAUCGACAAAAAAGAUUGCGACCUCGAUGUUGGAUUAAGGAAUAUGAUUAGGUGUAGAAGUUUAAUUAAUAAGUCUGUUCGACUUUUAAAUCCUUACGUGAUCUGAGUUCCAAACCGG